rnacentral:rRNA from 1 species
GCUGGCGGCAGGCCUAACACAUGCAAGUCGACCGGUAACAGGAAGCAGCUUGCUGCUUUGCUGACGAGUGGCGGACGGGUGAGUAAUGUCUGGGAAACUGCCCGAUGGAGGGGGAUAACUACUGGAAACGGUAGCUAAUACCGCAUAACGUCGCAAGACCAAAGAGGGGGACCUUAGGGCCUCUUGCCAUCGGAUGUGCCCAGAUGGGAUUAGCUAGUAGGUGGGGUAAUGGCUCACCUAGGCGACGAUCCCUAGCUGGUCUGAGAGGAUGACCAGCCACACUGGAACUGAGACACGGUCCAGACUCCUACGGGAGGCAGCAGUGGGGAAUAUUGCACAAUGGGCGCAAGCCUGAUGCAGCCAUGCCGCGUGUAUGAAGAAGGCCUUCGGGUUGUAAAGUACUUUCAGCGGGGAGGAAGGGAGUAAAGUUAAUACCUUUGCUCAUUGACGUUACCCGCAGAAGAAGCACCGGCUAACUCCGUGCCAGCAGCCGCGGUAAUACGGAGGGUGCAAGCGUUAAUCGGAAUUACUGGGCGUAAAGCGCACGCAGGCGGUUUGUUAAGUCAGAUGUGAAAUCCCCGGGCUCAACCUGGGAACUGCAUCUGAUACUGGCAAGCUUGAGUCUCGUAGAGGGGGGUAGAAUUCCAGGUGUAGCGGUGAAAUGCGUAGAGAUCUGGAGGAAUACCGGUGGCGAAGGCGGCCCCCUGGACGAAGACUGACGCUCAGGUGCGAAAGCGUGGGGAGCAAACAAGAUUAGAUACCUGGGUAGUCCACGCCGUAAACGAUGUCGACUGGAGGGUUGUGGCCCUGAGGCGUGGCUUCCGGAGCUAACGCGUUAAGUCGACCGCCUGGGGAGUACGGCCGCAAGGUUAAAACUCAAAUGAAUUGACGGGGGCCCGCACAAGCGGUGGAGCAUGUGGUUUAAUUCGAUGCAACGCGAAGAACCUUACCUGGUCUUGACAUCCACGGAAGUUUUCAGAGAUGAGAAUGUGCCUUCGGGAACCGUGAGACAGGUGCUGCAUGGCUGUCGUCAGCUCGUGUUGUGAAAUGUUGGGUUAAGUCCCGCAACGAGCGCAACCCUUAUCCUUUGUUGCCAGCGGUCCGGCCGGGAACUCAAAGGAGACUGCCAGUGAUAAACUGGAGGAAGGUGGGGAUGACGUCAAGUCAUCAUGGCCCUUACGACCAGGGCUACACACGUGCUACAAUGGCGCAUACAAAGAGAAGCGACCUCGCGAGAGCAAGCGGACCUCAUAAAGUGCGUCGUAGUCCGGAUUGGAGUCUGCAACUCGACUCCAUGAAGUCGGAAUCGCUAGUAAUCGUGGAUCAGAAUGCCACGGUGAAUACGUUCCCGGGCCUUGUACACACCGCCCGUCACACCAUGGGAGUGGGUUGCAAAAGAAG